rnacentral:rRNA from 1 species
GAUGAACGCUGGCGGCGUGCUUAACACAUGCAAGUCGAACGGAAAGGCCCAAGCUUGCUUGGGUACUCGAGUGGCGAACGGGUGAGUAACACGUGGGUGAUCUGCCCUGCACUUCGGGAUAAGCCUGGGAAACUGGGUCUAAUACCGGAUAGGACCACAUUUUGGAUGGUGUGGAGGAAAGUUUUUCGGUGUGGGAUGAGCUCGCGGCCUAUCAGCUUGUUGGUGGGGUAAUGGCCUACCAAGGCGUCGACGGGUAGCCGGCCUGAGAGGGUGUACGGCCACAUUGGGACUGAGAUACGGCCCAGACUCCUACGGGAGGCAGCAGUGGGGAAUAUUGCACAAUGGGCGCAAGCCUGAUGCAGCGACGCCGCGUGGGGGAUGACGGCCUUCGGGUUGUAAACUCCUUUCGCUAGGGACGAAGCGUUAUGUGACGGUACCUGGAGAAGAAGCACCGGCUAACUACGUG